CAUUUUACCCCUUUGUGCAUCGCCGCGUGGGUCCUCUUUACAAGGAGGGCUUGCGUUUUUUUUACCUUAAANUUUNNUCNGNAAGGAAUAGGUAUUUUUUUUUUUGCAGUUAUAUGCAAUCAAUACAACUUUCAACAACGGAUCUCUUGGCUCUCGCAUCGAUGAANAACGCAGCGAAAUGCGAUACGUAAUGUGAAUUGCANAAUUCAGUGAAUCAUCGAAUCUUUGAACGCACCUUGCGCCCCUUGGCAUUCCGAGGGGCACACCCGUUUGAGUGUCGNGAAAUUCUCAAAAACCUUUUCUUUAAUAAGAAAAGGAUUUUUGGACUUGGAGGUUUGAUGCUUGCUUUGUUUUGAAAGUAAGCUCCUCUAAAAUAGAUUAGUAGGGUCUGCUUUGCUGAUCCUUAAUGUGAUAAGAUGCUUCUACAUUUUGGAUUUGGNACUGNCUUUUGGAGCCUGCUUCUAACUGUCUUAUGGACAAUGAUGGUGUCUCUGGUCACUGCUAUGUAUAUNAGCAGGAGGCUGGACCCAUAUAAAAGAAAAAAAAAC
rnacentral:rRNA from 1 species